UGGAUUCACUUGGAAUCCCAAAAGGAGAAAGUAAUAAUUUACUCCAGUUGACUGCCUUCUUUCAUCCACACUUCAAGGUAAUGGAUGGCCGUUAAUAACAGUAAAAACAAAGAAGGAUAAGUUGAAGGUGAUGAUGAAGAGCCCAACUGAGAAGAUUGAUAUUACAGGAGAGCAACAGACCAAUAUGGUAUGGUUUUAAAAAUAAAAUUUCCACUUGCAUUCCUGGAAGGCUUCUCUGAAUCUGGAUACCUCCAGGAUGCAGUGCGAUUUACAAAAGGAGAGUGGGAGGUGAGGACAUUGGAAUCUAUUUGCCUCCAAUUAAUGGCUCCAUAAGCUCCCUGCGGAGCUUGUUAAACGUUGUGGAGGGGCUGAAGCACCCAAAUCCGAGUGAACUGAGAAUUUUUGUGUCAUUUAAUGAAACUUGUCCCAGACAUACGGGAUUGUUCAUGGAUUCUACACACUCAUAGGUUAUGAGAACACAGGUACACGAGUAGGUAAUUCAGCCCAUUCAGCCUGCUACAUCAUUCAACACUUUCAUGAAGGACAGGGCACUUCAAUGUGUUUUACCUGCACUGUUGCCAUAAUCUUUUAUGUCA